CAAGGACUAAGCCAUGCAAGUCUAAGUAUGAGUGAACUGUACAACGAAACUGCGAAUGGCUCGGUAAAACAGCUAUAAUUUCUUCGAUGGUAAUACUACUCGGAUAACCGUAGUAAUUCUAGAGCUAAUACGUGCCGGAAGGCGGCGCUUGCGCCGUGGUACAAAUUGGAUAUACAAACCAAUGUUUGGUGAUUCACAAUUUAUUUUCUGAUCGCACUUAUGUGCGACGCAUCGUUCAAAUUUCUGACCUAUCAACUUUGGAUGGUAAGGUAUUGUCUUACCAUGGUUGUGACGGGUAACGGACCGUGGGUGCGGGAUUCCGGAGAGGGAGCCUGAGAGACGGCUACCACAUCC
rnacentral:rRNA from 1 species